rnacentral:rRNA from 1 species
UCAUUACCGAGUUUACAACUCCCAAACCCCUGUGAACAUACCUUUAUGUUGCCUCGGCGGAUCAGCCCGCGCCCCGUAAAACGGGACGGCCCGCCGCAGGAAACCCUAAACUCUGUUUUUAGUGGAACUUCUGAGUAUAAAAAACAAAUAAAUCAAAACUUUCAACAACGGAUCUCUUGGUUCUGGCAUCGAUGAAGAACGCAGCAAAAUGCGAUAAGUAAUGUGAAUUGCAGAAUUCAGUGAAUCAUCGAAUCUUUGAACGCACAUGGCGCCGCGCCAGUAUUCUGGCGGGCAUGCCUGUUCGAGCGUCAUUUCAACCCUCAAGCCCAGCUUGGUGUUGGGAUCUGUGUGCAAACACAGUCCCCAAAUUGAUUGGCGGUCACGUCGAGCUUCCAUAGCGUAGUAAUUUACACAUCGUUACUGGUAAUCGUCGCGGCCACGCCGUUAAACCCCAACUUCUGAAUGUGACCUCGAUCAGGUAGGAAUACCC